rnacentral:rRNA from 1 species
GGGAGGGGUGCAAGCGUUGUUCGGAAUUAUUGGGCGUAAAGAGCGUGUAGGCGGUCCGGUAAGUCAGAUGUGAAAGCCCCCGGGCUCAACCCAGGAAGUGCAUUUGAAACUACCAGACUUGAGUACGGGAGAGGAGGGGGGAAUUCCCGGUGUAGAGGUGAAAUUCGUAGAUAUCGGGAGGAAUACCAGUGGCGAAGGCGCCCCUCUGGACCGAUACUGACGCUGAGACGCGAAAGCGUGGGGAGCAAACAGGAUUAGAUACCCUGGUAGUCCACGCCGUAAACGAUGAGCACUAGGUGUAGCGGGUAUUGACCCCUGCUGUGCCGUAGCUAACGCAUUAAGUGCUCCGCCUGGGGACUACGGUCGCAAGACUA